UAGAAAAAUAAGCUAAAGUGAAAGCUUUUGGAUUCAUAAUUCAAAUAUAGAUUUUGUCUUUUUUCU
rnacentral:tRNA from 1 species